rnacentral:sRNA from 1 species
GUUUGCCUGGUACUGCGGUGUGAAAGUCAAGGCAUCAGCUGGAGAGACGACACCUCAAAACCCACGGAGCAGCCCCCACGCCCCUCACCCCCAGGGCAGCCACACGCAGUGACAUGCAACUCCCAGUGUCUUUGGGUUUAUUUAGCAAGAGGUAAUGACUGGGCGGCCCCUCAGAGUCCCGCGCCAGUGCAGAUUCUUGAUAAGCCGGAUUUCAGAAGCUCGCAGGCUGGCUGCGUCACCACUGGCUCCGGCCCCCGGCUCCCGUGUCGUGUCCAGGGCUGGGGUCGCCGGUCCCCUGGCUUCUGUCGUGCGGGGGUCCUGCCAAGCUGCUCAUGCUGUGUUUGGCGUUUCCAGGGAGUACUACAUCACCAUGGUGAAGUGGGCCACCAGCACCAAGGUCGCCGUGACCUGGCUGAACCGGGCGCAGAACGUGUCCAUCCUCACCCUCUGCGACGCCACCACGGGGGUCUGCACAAAGAAACACGAGGAUGAAAGUGAGGCCUGGCUCCACAGACAGGUAACUACUGCACGCCUGGGUCCCCACUGUCACCU